rnacentral:lncRNA from 1 species
GUGUUCGCCUGCCUGGUGGGCGGCGUGCUGCCCUUCGGCGCCGUCUUCAUCGAGCUGUUCUUCAUCCUCACCUCCAUGUGGCUGCACCAGUUCUACUACCUGUUCGGCUUCCUGGCGCUGGUGUUCGUCAUCCUCAUCAUCACAUGCGCGGAGAUAACCAUCGUGCUGUGCUACUUCCAGCUGUGCUCGGAGGACUACCACUGGUGGUGGCGCUCGUUCUUCACCUCGGGCUCGUCCGCCCUGUACCUGUUCGCGUACUCGGGCUUCUACUUCUACAGCAAGCUGGACAUCACCAAGACCGUGCCCAUGCUCAUGUACUUCGGGUACAUGCUCAUCGUGUCGUACG